rnacentral:lncRNA from 1 species
AAGUACAAGCCAUACACAGGGGAUUGCUGCUACCCAAGGCAUUCUUGUGGUGGGCUCUCAGCUUACGCUCCUGUCAGCCCAAGCUCAGUGAUAACUCAGAUGGUGAAUGUGAGGGCAUAGUACACAAACGGGCUUGCUCUGCUAAGGUCUUACAGAGUCACCAGCCUUGUGGCCAUUCUUCCAAGAGUGAACCUCAUUUUAAGCACACAGGAGUCACCCAUAGUGCUACUGGAACAAUAACCGUUCCUAGCAUUACAGAAAGUUCCGUUGGAUCAUGCUGGUCUGUCUCGAAUGUUCUAGCAAUCGCAUGGGGAAUGUUCUGACCUUGGGUCUUCAGGUCAUUACAGCGUAUGACUUCCUAAGAAAGAAGUUCCUCUGGGG